AAAUUGAAGAGUUUGAUCAUGGCUCAGAUUGAACGCUGGCGGCAGGCCUAACACAUGCAAGUCGAACGGUAACAGGAAGCAGCUUGCUGCUUCGCUGACGAGUGGCGGACGGGUGAGUAAUGUCUGGGAAACUGCCUGAUGGAGGGGGAUAACUACUGGAAACGGUAGCUAAUACCGCAUAACGUCGCAAGACCAAAGAGGGGGACCUUCGGGCCUCUUACCAUCGGAUGUGCCCAGAUGGGAUUAGCUAGUAGGUGGGGUAACGGCUCACCUAGGCGACGAUCCCUAGCUGGUCUGAGAGGAUGACCAGCCACACUGGAACUGAGACACGGUCCAGACUCCUACGGGAGGCAGCAGUGGGGAAUAUUGCACAAUGGGCGCAAGCCUGAUGCAGCCAUGCCGCGUGUAUGAAGAAGGCCUUCGGGUUGUAAAGUACUUUCAGCGGGGAGGAAGGGAGUAAAGUUAAUACCUUUGCUCAUUGACGUUACCCGCAGAAGAAGCACCGGCUAACUCCGUGCCAGCAGCCGCGGUAAUACGGAGGGUGCAAGCGUUAAUCGGAAUUACUGGGCGUAAAGCGCACGCAGGCGGUUUGUUAAGU
rnacentral:rRNA from 1 species